rnacentral:rRNA from 1 species
UAAUACUCCAUAGAUUAGAGACACUGGAAUGUUCUUUAGUCGAAAGUUCUGGCGCCUUAGGAUGGAUCCGCGGUCGAUUAGGUUGUUGUUGGGGUAACGGCCCAACAAGCCUGUAAUCGAUACGGGUUGUGGGAGCAAGAGCCCGGAGAUGGAAUCUGAGACACGAUUCCAGGCCCUACGGGGCGCAGCAGGCGCGAAAACUUUACAAUGCAGGAAACUGUGAUAAGGGAACUCCGAGUGCCCGUAUACGCGGGCUGUCCAGGUGUUUAAAAAUCAUCUGAAGAAAGGGCCGGGCAAGACCGGUGCCAGCCGCCGCGGUAAUACCGGCGGCUCGAGUGGUGGCCACUAUUAUUGGGCUUAAAGCGUCCGUAGCUGGACCGAUAAGUCUCUUGGGAAAUCCGCCGGCUCAACCGGCGGGCGUCUAAGGGAUACUGUUAGUCUAGGGACCGGGAGAGGUGAGAGGUACUCCGGGGGUAGGAGUGAAAUCCUGUAAUCCCCGGGGGACCACCGAUGGCGAAGGCAUCUCACCAGAACGGCUCCGACAGUGAGGGACGAAAGCUGGGGGAGCGAACCGGAUUAGAUACCCGGGUAGUCCCAGCCGUAAACUAUGCGCGUUAGGUGUAC